UAAAAUUACCAUGAUAUCCUCUUUCUUUCUAAAUUGAUUUUUGUAUUUACUUUUUUUUUCUGUCACAAGAUUUUGAGUGGAUAUCAACAUAUUGAUAUCAGAUUUAAAAAAACGCUCUCUAACCCUAGGCGGCGAUAAAAAAUGAGAUCUUUUAAUCACAGUGAAGAUUGAAUCGAUCGGGAGGAUCUUUGUGAUUCUCUUAACUAGAAUCAACGAGGGGAUGGAUUUCGACGGAAUUGGAGAUGGAUUCGUAUCAAAGGAUUUUUUGGAAAAGAGGUGUUUGGGACAAAGAUGGAGAGUUUUUCUGGGAAUUUCCCAGCAUGAUGAGUUUUAUCUAUAAAGGAAAGGGGGAUAUUUCCGUUUGGUUUGCUUGAUUAUUGGAGAUCUGGUGUGCAAGGGAUGUGAAGUUUUCAAGGUUCAGACAUGGAAAGUGGUCUCAUUUGCAAUAUCCGAUGGGGAACGACGGAUCUUGAAAGGAUCCGACUACUCAGAUUGUCUAGUACUUUUCCCACUCUUUCCAUGGCUUUUGCUAUGCUUCUCCAAAGAACUUUCACAUAAGAAGAGCUAGCUAGAGCCACCAAUGACUUCUCUGAGACAAAAUUGUUAGGACAAGGCAAGUUUGAGAUGCAAUGUCUUUUAAGAGUUAUUUACUAGCCACCUUUGUAACCUUUUUGAAAUGUGUCAGUUGUAUAGUAUCCAUGUGUACAUCAAUAUCACAGUGUACAGAGGUGGUCAUAUGUACAUCAAUAUCAUAGUGUUGUACAUCACUAAACUCAGAACGGUACAUAAACGCAUGGCGUUGGGGUUA